GGGCAUUUUAGGAGAUUCCCAAUAAUAGUAUUCUAGGGUUAGGGCGUUUAUUUUUCUGGUUCUCAGAUCUCACCGAAUUUCUGUCGCAAACCCUGACCCUAAAAUCCCAACCAUGUCGUCCAAGCAAGGUGGCAAAAUGAAGCCUUUGAAGCAACCCAAAUCUGAUAAGAAAGAAUACGACGAGCAUGAUUUGGCUAACAUUCAGAAAAAGAAGGAAGAAGAGAAGGCACUUAAGGAGCUGAGAUCAAAGGCACAACAAAAGGGUUCAUUUGGUGGUGCCGGUCUUAAGAAGAGUGGGAAGAAAUGAGGGUAUAAAACCCCAGAUAAACAGAAACUAUCGAGUCUUGUGUUGUGAGUAAAACUUAUAUUAUGUUGACAUCUUAUAUUUCCAGCGCGAUGGCCUAGGGCAUCGAUUGGGAUGAUUUGAUGAUUCUCUAGUUUCAAACUGAAUUUGCUAUUAAAUCUUGUGUGGGAUGUCGUUAUGUAAAACUUAAUAAAUUUAAGUUCUACGUUUGUGCUUU